CACUAUGUUGUAUUCGUUUAAAAAAACGGCGCCAAGAAAGAAAGGACAUGCGCAUUGUUCUCCUGAGCCAGUUAACGUAGAGCUGGUACAUUGCUGUCUUCACUGGAGUGCUGCAAGCUCGAAGUGUGGCUGCAGCACUUCUCGCUCGUAACGUGAAACUUAAAAACACGCCAAGGAGUGGAUGCAAGUGAACUAUCAAUCUACUGAAACAGAAGCGGGAAAUGUAUUCGAAGACGAAAAUGCUCGCGCGACCUGUGCGUCAGACCCGGAUAAACGCACGCGAGCUGACAAAAUCCUGAGUAGCUGUUAUUCAACAUAAACACAUUUCCGCACACAUGAAGAUGGAUGACGAUAGUUCAUCUUAAAAUGAAACUUAUGUUUAUCAGCUUACCCCCAGGCCAUCUAAGAG